ensembl:snRNA U6 U6 spliceosomal RNA
GUGCUACGGCUGCACAUAUACGAAAAUUGGACCGAUACAGAGAAGAUUAGCAAGGCAAAAGGACGACACGCAAAUCUGUGAAGCGCUCCAUAUUUCG